rnacentral:rRNA from 1 species
AGAAUCAACGCUGGCGGCGUGCCUAACACAUGCAAGUCGAACGAGAAAGUGGAGCAAUCCAUGAGUAAAGUGGCGACCGGGUGAGUAACACGUGACUAACCUACCUUCGAGUGGGGGAUAACCUCGGGAAACCGAGGCUAAUACCGCAUAACAUCGCAAGAUCAAAGCAGCAAUGCGCUGGAAGAGGGGGUCGCGGCUGAUUAGCUAGUUGGCGGGUAACGGCCCACCAAGGCGAAGAUCGGUAUCCGGCCUGAGAGGGCGCACGGACACACUGGAACUGAAACACGGUCCAGACUCCUACGGGAGGCAGCAGUGGGGAAUUUUGCGCAAUGGGGGAAACCCUGACGCAGCAACGCCGUGUGGAGGAUGAAGCCCCUUGGGGCGUAAACUCCUUUCGACCAAGACGAUAAUGACGGUACUGGUGGAAGAAGCACCGGCUAACUCUGUGCCAGCAGCCGC